CUGAAUUGCCAACUUGUGACUCUCCAGAACUUACUUCCUCUCUGUCUUUGAAUCAGGCAAUGUGCCUAAUUAUGACUACUUUUCAGAUUGUACCUUAGAGUGAGGCUCCACUAACCAGCCAGAAAUAUACACCAUGGACAAGAAAUAGAUUUUCAUUAGUAUAAGUGAGAGAGGAGACCACCUCUCUGUAUGGAAUUAGGCAACUACGGGUUAACUGUGUUAUUAGGGAACUAUGGGCUAGCUAGGUAACUAGAUUCUUUGUGGAAUGUAUCUGAGUAUCCAUGACAAUUUCUGUAAUCUGUCACCAAAGGAGCGUAACAGAAUCAGAAAGUCUUGUCAGGCCAGGAUUUAGCUCAGUGGAUCCAGCACCUGCCUUGCAAGGGACCCUGCCUUGCAAGGGAAAGGUCCCCAGUUCAAUCCCCAGUACCAAAAAACGAACAAACAAACAAAGUCCUGCCAGAACUCUUUGCUCUCCCCCUCACACACACACACACACACACCUGUUGCUCUGCUUUGUAUAAAUCCUGCUUGCUAUAUUCCAGGGAAACUCCAAUGAAAUACUGGGGACAGAACCUAGGGCCUGCUGCAUAGCAGCUGCCAUUUUAUAGAAUCUUGGAGCAACAGAUUGCAAUCCCAAUCAGCCGCAAACAACUGUCUUGAGGAGAUGAUUUCAUCCUCCAUGAACACCACAGAUGAGAACCAGUUAUCUCAACUCAGAGGGAAAUACCAUCAAUCCCAUAAGACUAUGGGGAAAUGUGACUGGAAAUAUCUUGGAAAGACUAUAUGGAAAGAAGACAGAACAAAAAUAAUUAUGAUCAAUAUUGGUUGGGAAACAAAAUUUCACCUUCCUUCAUGUAAGAUACUACAUUGAGAUUGUAAGCGAUACAGAUAAAUAAAAAUAAAAUCUCAC
rnacentral:lncRNA from 1 species